GGUUGCCAUUCUCCUGCCUCAGCCUCCUGAGUAGCUGGGACUACAGAUUCCUCAAAUCCAACAUGUACAAAAUGGAACUCAUCAUCUUUCUCUACCAACCAGCAAUUCUUCUGUGUUCUUAAUCUUAAUAUUCACUCUCAA